ACCGGUUCUCGUACGAUCACCGAAGUUAAGCAACCGCGUGCCUAAUCAGUACCUAGAUGGCUGACCGCUUGGGGAUACUAGGUGCUAUAA